rnacentral:rRNA from 1 species
AGAGUUUGAUCAUGGCUCAGAACGAACGCUGGCGGCGUGCGUAACACAUGCAAGUUGAAUGCGAAACUCGUCUUCGGAGGGGGAGUAGCAUGGCAGACGGGUGCGUAACACGUACCUGACCUGGCCUCGGAUGGGGGAUAGUCCUUCGAAAGGGGGGGUAAUCCCGCAUAGGCUCAUGGCGGGGGCGUCAUGAGGAAAGCUGGCCUCUGGGAGCAAGCUGGUGUCCGAGGGGGGGGGUGCGGCCUAUUAGCUAGUUGGUGUGGUAAGAGCGCACCAAGGCGAGGAUGGGUAGCUGGUCUGAGAGGAUGAUCAGCCACACUGGGACUGGGAGACGGCCCAGACUCCUACGGGAGGCAGCAGUGGGGAAUUUUGCGCAAUGGGCGCGAGCCUGACGCAGCAACGCCGUGUCCGUGAAGACGCCUUUCGGGGUGUAAAGCGGUGUCAGUAGGGACGAGGGAUCACGAGGUGAAGAGCCUGGUGGUUGGACGGUACUUGCAGAGGAAGCCCCGGCUAACUCCGUGCCAGCAGCCGCGGUAAGACGGAGGGGGCGAGCGUUGUUCGGAAUUAUUGGGCGUAAAGCGCGCGUAGGCGGUGGUUCAAGGGUCGUGUGAAAGCCCCCGGCUUAACUGGGGAAGGGCGCGACCGACUGAACGACUAGAGUGUCGGAGGGGGAGGUGGAAUGCCUGGUGGAGCGGUGAAAUGCGUAGAGAUCAGGCAGAACGCCGGUGGCGAAGGU